rnacentral:tRNA from 1 species
GCGAGGGUGGUGAAAUUGGUAGACACGCCAGACUUCGGAUCUGGUGCCAUUGGCAUAAGGGUUCAAGUCCCUUUCCUCGCA